rnacentral:rRNA from 1 species
UACGUAGGUGGCAAGCGUUGUCCGGAUUUACUGGGCGUAAAGAGCGUGUAGGCGGCCAGGCAGGUCUGUUGUGAAAACUGGAGGCUCAACUUCCAGACGUCGACAGAAACCGCUUGGCUAGAGUCCGGAAGAGGAGAGUGGAAUUCCUGGUGUAGCGGUGAAAUGCGCAGAUAUCAGGAAGAACACCGAUGGCGAAGGCAGCUCUCUGGGACGGUACUGACGCUGAGACGCGAAAGCGUGGGGAGCGAACAGG